AUGGACGGCGGCUACCGCUCCAAGUCGUACGCCAGCGGCCGCAUGCAGAUCGAGCCCUAUACAGGCGGCGCGCGGCCGGACUUCCGGUCCUUGUCCUACGGCGGCGGCGGGGCGUCGUACCAGUACCAGUACGAGUACGGCGCUGGAGCAGGGCAGGUGACGACGGUGGUGGAGGAGGAGGAGGUGAAGAGGAGCAAGUCUAAGCGGCGGUGGCUGGCGCUGGGCGACCCGGACAUGGAGCGGAAGCGGCGGGUGGCGGCGUACAAGGCCUACGCCAUGGAGGGCAAGGUGAAGGGAUCCUUCCGCAAGAGCUUCAGAUGGAUCAAGGACCGCUACCUGCACCUCGUCUACGGCGUAUCCUAG
rnacentral:rRNA from 1 species